GAUGAACGCUAGCGGCAGGCUUAACACAUGCAAGUCGAGGGGUAUAGUUCUUCGGAGCUAGAGACCGGCGCACGGGUGCGUAACGCGUAUGCAAUCUACCUUUUGCAGAGGGAUAGCCCAGAGAAAUUUGGAUUAAUACCUCAUAGUAUGUGAGAAUGGCAUCAUUUUCACAUUAAAGUCACAACGGCAAAAGAUGAGCAUGCGUCCCAUUAGCUUGUUGGUAAGGUAACGGCUUACCAAGGCAACGAUGGGUAGGGGUCCUGAGAGGGAGAUCCCCCCAACUGCUACUGGGACACGGACCAAACUCCUACGGGAGGCAGCAGUAAGAAAUAUUGUUCAAUGUGCGCAAGCCUGAUCCAGCCAUGCCGCGUGCAGGAUGACGGUCCUAUGGAUUGUAAACUGCUUUUGUACAGGAAGAAACACUGGUUCGUGAACCAGCUUGACGGUACGGUAAGAAUAAGGAGCGGCUAACUCCGUGCCAGCCGCCGCGGUAAAAC
rnacentral:rRNA from 1 species